UUUACGGGAGGCAGCAGUAGGGAAUAUUGGGCAAUGGGCGCAAGCCUGACCCAGCCAUGCCGCGUGCAGGAAGAAGGCGUUAUGCGUUGUAAACUGCUUUUAUACAGGAAGAAACGACCCUUGCGAGGGGCAUUGACGGUACUGUAUGAAUAAGCACCGGCUAACUCCGUGCCAGCAGCCGCGGUAAUACGGAGGGUGCAAGCGUUGUCCGGAUUUAUUGGGUUUAAAGGGUGCGCAGGUGGUUUAUUAAGUCAGUGGUGAAAGACGGUCGCUCAACGAUUGCAGUGCCAUUGAUACUGGUAGACUUGAGUAAAGUAGAGGUGGGCGGAAUUGAUAGUGUAGCGGUGAAAUGCAUAGAUAUUAUCAAGAACUCCAAUUGCGUAGGCAGCUCACUUGGCUUUUACUGACACUCAUGCACGAAAGUGUGGGUAUCAAACAGGAUUAGAAACCCGAGUAGUCC
rnacentral:rRNA from 1 species